rnacentral:sRNA from 1 species
AAUUGACUGCCGUAGACAGUAGGUGCUUUAUGCGUAAGAAUUAUUCGCCUACCGAGGAAUGUUAUUAUUUAUGAUGAUAAUUUACCUCUAUGUCUUUUUGGGCAUAGAGGUUUCUUAAUUUA